AUGGCGUCCAACUACAAGAUGAAGGGGUUCUUCAAGGGCUUCAAGAUCAUCUCCCAGAUCUUCGCGGCGAAGGAGCAGGAGAUGGUGAUCGGCCGGCCGACGGACGUGAAGCACGUCGCGCACAUCGGCUGGAGCAGCUCCACGCCGGGGACGCUCACGGGGAAUGCUUCUCCAAGCUGGAUGAAUGUCAUCGAGGGAUCAUCUGAUUUCUCGUCUCUGGGCUACUUCGCGCCGUCAGCGGGGACCUCCUGGACUUCUCAAGACUUCGAGCAGCAGCACCAACUCCCACGUGACAUGCUGCCUCUCAGGAUAGCUUCAGAGAUCACCGGGGAAGACGUGGCAGCAGCUCCGUGCCCUGAUGUUCCACGCCCGCCACCGAGAAAGACAAGGCGAAAGAGGAAAACAACGCUUGGCUCUCUAGUGAAUUCGACAAUGCCAAAUGAUUCAUCUGCAUCAGCCUCGACGGCAGCAACAGUUGUUGCCGAUGCCAUUGACACCAAUCGUGUGAUGCAGUGA
rnacentral:rRNA from 1 species